AGAGUUUGAUCCUGGCUCAGGAUGAACGCUAGCGGCAGGCCUAAUACAUGCAAGUCGGACGGGAUUGGGGAGCUUGCUCCCCAUGAGAGUGGCGCACGGGUGCGUAACACGUAUGUAACCUACCCAUAUCAGGGGGAUAGCCUCUCGAAAGAGAGAUUAAGCCCGCAUAAAAUCACAGAGCAGCAUUGCUUAAUGAUCAAAUAUUUUAUAGGAUAUGGAUGGGCAUGCGGAACAUUAGCUAGUUGGUAAGGUAACGGCUUACCAAGGCUACGAUGUUUAGGGGAUCUGAGAGGAUGACCCCCCACACUGGUACUGAGACACGGACCAGACUCCUACGGGAGGCAGCAGUAAGGAAUAUUGGUCAAUGGGCGCAAGCCUGAACCAGCCAUGCCGCGUGCAGGAAGACGGCCCUACGGGUUGUAAACUGCUUUUAUACCG
rnacentral:rRNA from 1 species